rnacentral:rRNA from 1 species
UGGGGAAUAUUGGACAAUGGGCGCAAGCCUGAUCCAGCCAUGCCGCGUGAGUGAUGAAGGCCCUAGGGUUGUAAAGCUCUUCCACCGGUGAAGAUAAUGACGGUAACCGGAGAAGAAGCCCCGGCUAACUUCGUGCCAGCAGCCGCGGUAAUACGCAGGGGGCUAGCGUUGUUCGGAUUUACUGGGCGUAAAGCGCACGUAGGCGGACUAUUAAGUCUGGGGUGAAAUCCCGGGGCUCAACCCCGGAACUGCCUUUGAUACUGGUAGUCUUAAAUUCGAGAGAGGUGAGUGGAGUUCCGCGUGUAGAGGUGAAAUUCGUAGAUAUUCGGAGGAACACCAGUGGCGAAGGCGGCUCACUGGCUCGAUACUGACGCUGAGGUGCGAAAGCGUGGGGAGCAAACAGG